rnacentral:rRNA from 1 species
UUGACGGGGCCCGCACAGCGGUGGAGUAUGUGGUUUAAUUCGAUGCAACGCGAAGAACCUUACCUGGUCUUGACAUCCCGGAGACCCUUAGGAAACUAGGGGUGCUUCCAUCUGGAAGAAUCUGGAGACAGGUGCUGCAUGGCUGUCGUCAGCUCGUGUCGUGAGAUGUUGGGUUAAGUCCCGCAACGAGCGCAACCCUUGCCUUUAGUUGCCAGCAGUUCGGCUGGGCACUCUAAAGGGACUGCCGGUGUUAAACCGGAGGAAGGUGGGGAUGACGUCAAGUCCUCAUGGCCUUUAUGACCAGGGCUACACACGUACUACAAUGGCCGAUACAAAGGGCAGCGACACUGCGAGGUGAAGCCAAUCCCGUAAAAUCGGUCUCAGUCCGGAUUGGAGUCUGCAACUCGACUCCAUGAAGUUGGAAUCGCUAGUAAUCGUGGAUCAGCAUGCCACGGUGAAUACGUUCCCGGGCCUU